CAGAGGCGGCGGAGGCGGCAGAGGUGCACCUGGUGGUAGAGGCGGAGGAAGAGGUCCUCCUGGUGGUCGCGGUGGCAGAGACGGUGGUCGUGGUGGCGGCC
rnacentral:ribozyme from 1 species